CUUGUCUGCCAGACGGCCCACUGCCAAGGCCACCACUGCCUGGAAUCGUGUCAGCGGGAGAGCCUAUGUGGGAUACAAAAAGAAUCAGCUCACAUCCCACAUCAUCCUUUCUGCUCAAGAUGUUCUUGAAGUAGAAGGCUGUUCACCUUCUGCUGGACGAUUCGGGUGAAGAGUUGCAAAACACGGCUUCGUACAAAGGAAUUGACAUCAUGGCCAUGGGCUUGCAGGGUGUCCAAGAACUGGUCUCUGGUGUCUCGGGCUGCUUCCUCCAGCUGAUCACCAUUCAGAACCUGCAGUAUCAUCUCUGCCAUGGCUGCGAGCACAGCAUUGCGCAUCAUGUAAUUCUGAGAGAGAAAUGAAGUUGGUAUAAGCCUCUGCAUCCACUACUCACUUUCCCUUUCCUAAUUCUUAAGCCUGUCCAGGCACUCAGAAGGGGCAAGGCCCUUUAGUCAAGGUUAAACUUGCUUGUCUUAGCUGUAACUUUCCCUGGAAAAAUCUGAAUCCCAGAGGAGCUUUGUUUGCUCAGAGAAGGAUGUAGAGACAAAAUAAACAAGAGCCAAAAACCAUUUCCCCGCUAAGGUUCAUCCAGGUAAUCAUGGUGGUAGCUGAAUAUGAAAUUGAAUUUACCCCCAAUAUACAUUUGAAAAGCAUUAAUGACUACCUUUCACCACCUUUGAUCCUUACUAAUAAAUGCGCCCUUCCCUCCCACUCCUCUAUUUUACUGACAGAAAAGGAAACACAGAGAAAUAGAAAUCAGACCUAUAGUGCCAGCAAGUCCAUUACAGAAUCUGGUAGAGAAAAGGGUUUAGGGUUAUUUUCUAGGCCAAGAGCCAGAGAAGGGGGUCUUGAACAAGAAGUUAA